GCAAUGAUAGGCUCCAAGCUUGAGCUAAGGGGUGAUGGUCGAAAGGAAACCUUUGGUGGCUAGGCAAUCAAGGUAAUUGAGGGAUAAUUUGAGAUGGAGAGGAAAUGGGGGAAAGAGCCUAGGAGUUCCAGGAUUUUGUCUCUUUUUAUUUAGGUCAAGAUUAGAAAGUAUCUAUCUCUUGAUGACAUCCAACAAGACCUUAUAUCAAUAGAUAGG
rnacentral:lncRNA from 1 species